GACGAACGCUGGCGGCGUGCUUAACACAUGCAAGUCGAACGGAAAGGCCCUGCUUUUGUGGGGUGCUCGAGUGGCGAACGGGUGUGUAACACGUGAGUAUCCUGCCCUUUACUUUGGGAUAACUUCAGGAAACUGGGGCUAAUACCGGAUAGGAGCUCCUGCUGCAUGGUGGGGGUUGGACAGUUUCGGCGGGUGGGGAUGGAGUGGCGGCUUAUCAGCUUGUUGGGUGGGGAGUUGCUUACCAAGGGUUUGGUGGGUAGCCGGCCUGGGAGGUUGACCGCGCACCAUGGGACUGAGAUACGGCGCAGACUGCAACGGGAGGCAGCAGUCGAGAGUAUUGCACAGUGAGCGGAAGCCUGAGGCGGAGGCGCCGGGUGCGGAAUGACGGCCUUGGGGUUGUAAACCGCUUUCGCCUGAGACGAAGCGUGAGUGACGGUAAUAAGUGAAGAAGCACCGGCUAACUACGUG
rnacentral:rRNA from 1 species